AAAGGUAGCAACCGGGGACAUUGGUAUCUAUACACACCCUUCAACCGGGGACACACACGGAACCGGGGACGUCCCCGGUUGAGAUACUGAGUAAAAAUGGUUUCCGCGACCCUUUCAAGGCUAGAAAAUGUAUUUUUAGUUGAAACUGUAUCUUGUCCCGGUUGCAUGUAAAUUUCACAAUCGCCUACACACACGCUUCGUGUAUAGCAUUGGUCGAACUUUCGCGCUUAUACACACGUGUCCCCGCUUACACGGAACGGCAUUGAUUACCGCCAUGGACUCGCCGACAUGAAGGAAGAUCAGUUUCUGCUCAGUCAAGGUAAAUUAUUUGUAGAUGUAGUUUUUGUAGUGUAAGUGUGACGGGAAUUCAUUAAAUAAGUCGAGUAUUAUGUUUUUCGCUUUUUUUCUGCCUGUACUAAUGACAAUAUUCAACAGAUAUAUGUAUUGAAUUAGGCUAUUACAUCGUAUUAUCACAUUGUAUUUACAUCUUCUUGACAAUCAACAACACAUUAUUAAUAAUGAUUGUAGGCUACAAUAUCAAGUAAUACGUUCAGGUUCAGUUUAGUCCCAUGUUUUUAGUGCAGUAUGGAAGAAUCGCGAAGGCAGUGUUGUAAUUUGAUACGCUAUGACGCGCCCACUUUGAUAACUUGCUGGCGGAAAAUUACCCGCUGAUAAAGAAAUGUGUCAAGUAGUUUAAAGAAGAUAUACAAUUAUCAUUGAACAUGUUCAGUCGUAAUUUUGAAUGUUAGUUGCUAGGAUAUAUAUCAACGUCAAACAAGUAAGUUUAGCAGCAAAAGAAAAUACAUGCAGUUGCUUGAUAAUCUCAGCAUAUGAUUGUGCUCCUCAUUUUGGAAGGUACUGUAAAAUAUAUGUAUUCAUAGGUUAUAUCCCAAAUAUCUACACGUAUUUAUCCCGGACCUGAUUGUAUCUCCAUGCAUUUAAACUGCUCAGUGAAAGUCAGCUUUGAUCUACACAUAGUGUCUAUAUACAAACAUAUUUAUGACAAAGAAAUCUGAUAACCUCCGCUAACACACUUUUUAUAAUUAUGGAUAAAUAUUUAUUUCAGUGCAACAAACAGUUAUCAAGCUAAGCUGCAUUGACAAAGAAAUUAGGAAUUCUCUUCAAUUGGGAAAACAGAACUUGCCACAGUGUUUGAAAGCUAUAUCAAAGCUGGGAACCCUGACUGUGUAUGGAGCAGCACUAAGAAAGUAUCCUGAAAUUAUCUCAACUGUGAAGAAGUGUCGGCACUUUGCCUACUGUGGGCGCAUCAGGCAGAAGGCAGAACUUAUAUUGUGUACAUUCAGAAAGACAUUAGAAAGAGGGAAGAUGAAGGCAUUUCGGG